UCUGAUAGCCAGUCGUUAGAUCUUUAGAA
rnacentral:piRNA from 1 species